CUGCCAUCUUUCCAUAUGACCAUGCUGGGGAUCCAGCUUCCAGUGCAUGAACCUUUGGAAGACAAGCCAUAUCCAGACUGUAAGGAGCCAUUUGAGGAGUGGUAAUAUGUGUAGCAGGUGUCAGGGAAGACUUCACCAAGAGGGACAUCCUGAUCUGCGUCUUAAAGGAUGGGUGGGAUGCACAGAAGUUUAGUGGUAAACGAGGAGGAAGGGAUCUCGGGCCCAUGCCAGGGGCAAAGAAUAAGUAAACCAAAACCAAAACAACAACAACAACAACAACAAAAAUGGAGCCAGUGUGGUGGCAUGCCUGGGGACCAGCCACCCGGAGGCAGAGGCAGGAGGGUCACUUGAGCCCAAGAGUUCAAAGCCAGGCUGGGCAACAUAGGAAAACCCAUCCAGAAAAAAAAAAAAAAAUUGGCCAGAAAAAUCCAUAUCCAAACCAAAGACAUUUUUAGUUUUGCUCACACGACAUUUUUAGAAGUUUUAGAAUUAGCUGCCAACAUUAAAAGAUCUGGAGCUUUCACAUGAAAAUCCAUAGCUUUAAUUUAUCUUGGGAAAUCAGGUUUGACAUUCCUGCAUGGCGACGAAGGUCACUCUGUAUCAGACAACCACAUCACCUGCCUGUCCUCCGUGGUGGGUCAGAGACAGCUUCAUAUCUUUGCAACUGUCCAUAACAACGGUCCCCUCCCCAUGGACUCGAGGACAGUCCUGCAAGUGUUUUACCAAUAGAAUGUGACAGAAGUGAUAGAAAUAGUUAGGCUGUGACAAUUGCCGGUGGGGCACUCCUCAAACCCCAGAAUAGGGCUGGGAGAGUGUCCACCUUGGGAGCCAGCAAUGGGGCGUGUGGGUCAGAAGCCAGAAGCACAGGGGCAGAUCUGGGCCCCAGAGGCAGGCGGGGAGUUGUUCAGCAGAUGUGGAUGAGACAGGGUGGCUGGUGGGGGUGCCUGGGGAAGGGGCGACUUGACCCUUGACCUGUCCAGCAAGAGAAGAGAUGCCCUGAAGGGGAUCAAGAGAGAAAGCUGGAGAGAGGAAGAGGACGGGGGAGAGCAGGUCCCUGUUAGAUUCCAAAGAGAGGUGUUCAGAGGGAGGGAGCGGUCAGCAGCUUCAGGUGGCCGCCAAAAUGUGUUUGAUGUGUGAUCAGGAGAUGGUUGGUGGCCUUGGCGAUGGCAAGUCUCUGUGGCAGCAGACAAGUAGGUGAAAAAGCAGUGGAGGGGGAAGUCAGACUGGGUGUCAACAGCUCUUUCAAGAAACUUGAGCGUGGACUGCAGGAGUGAAGAGGAAGUGGUCCGAGGUUGGCAGGUCCCCACCCCGUGGGAGACCUAGUGUGUUUUUGAACACUGAACAGAGGGUCCUUGGACAGGGAAGUUGGCGGUGCAGGAGAGGGGCUAAGCCAUGGAACAGGUCAAGAGGAAACGGGAAGGACUGUCCAGGAGGGCGCAGGAGUCAGCCUGGGCCUGAGUCAGCCUCUGCCUUUGGGGUGAUGGCCCAUGGCAGUUAGAGAAGCCAGAGAUGAGAGCUGGUGAGGACAGAGCGGCUGGCACAGUUCUCAUUUCACUUCUCCAUAAAAUAGGAGCCGCGAUCAUCUGGUGACAGCGAGGAAGGCAUCUGCAGCAGAGGGCUGGUGGAAGCGGCCAUUGAGGUUGACUUGGGCUCCAGCCUGGAGACUUUGACAUCCUUCCGUGCCUUCUGCUGAGGGCCACAACUGGCUUCCAGAUGUGACAGUCAACGCUGAACCUGCAGGUCAAGGAAGACCAUAGAUAUGAGGAGGCCUGGAGGCCCCGGAGCUGGAAAACCUGAUUAGGCCCCCCAGGCUUAGCCCACUUCAUCUGCUCUUAGCCUGCGAUCGCCCAUGCUGCAGAUGUCUCCAGAAUCUAUUACUGUGGAGGCAGAUUUGAGACUUGCUCUGCUGUCUCCACCCAAGGUCACCUUGUUAAUUAACUCCUUCUGUGGUGCAAAACUCAUCAUUUCUGGGGCUGGAGCUCAGGCCGAGAGUAAGCCCGGUGAGCACAAGCCCUGGGUUCAGUCCCCAGCACCACCAAGAAAGCUCAGACCUCAUUAUUUUGGCCAUUGGCAUCGUGCAUGGCAGGCAAAACAGGCCUGGUUUGGUAGCAGGGCCAGGCCACCAGAGUGACCACUCAUACAGGAGACCGUUGCUUCACUUGUAGACUGGUGUGGGUUUUAUUGCCUACAUCAGCAAACUUCUUGAGAAGGCCCUGGUUGAGGUCCCUCGUGAUCUGGGUCCUGCUGACCUUUCUGGCUUGGUGUCCCUCCCCAUCAUCCGAAGUCCCUGAGGCGCCAACUGUGGGGCAGGUCUCACUUUUCCCUAAAGUGCCAUAACUGUUUCUGCCUUUAUCUGAAAGGCUUUUCUCUUCCCCUUCCUUCUC
rnacentral:lncRNA from 1 species